GGAAGGGGGCGACCAUGGAUUUUCUCCAAGCCCUAGCUUCACACAAAACUCACAAAAUUGAAGCCUCAAAUCUGUCCUAAAUCAAGUCUCGAACAUAAAUUAGUGAUCACCUCGUUGAAAGGAUCAUAAGGCAAAGAGUCCGGAUCGUCAAGCGGACAAGCCGGAGGGAAUACACGUGGGAAAGGCGUGCUUUAAAGUUUCCAGGUAUUCAAAGUAGGAGGAUGGUAAUCAAGCAUAAGUAUCCGAACCGAACACUCAUACCAAUGCUUCUGCAC